UACGUAGGGUGCGAGCGUUGUCCGGAAUUAUUGGGCGUAAAGAGCUCGUAGGCGGUCUGUCACGUCGGUUGUGAAAACCCCGAGGCUCAACCUCGGGCCUGCAGUCGAUACGGGCAAACUAGAGUACUGCAGGGGAGACUGGAAUUCCUGGUGAUAGCGGUGAAAUGCGCAGAUAUCAGGAGGAACACCGGUGGGCGAAGGCGGGUCUCUGGGGCAGUAA
rnacentral:rRNA from 1 species